rnacentral:lncRNA from 1 species
GGCAUGCUGCAGUCCACCGGGUCACAAAGAAUCAUCAGCAACAAGAAUCAUAAUGUCAGAGUACACAUUACAAUUAUGCAAAAUAAUAAUAAAUAUCUUCAACAAGAAGACCAAAUGAGGAAAUUCCCUGGCAAGUGUAAGAGCUGGGAGUCCACCCUUUCACUGCAGAGGACCCAGCUGCAUAGAACUUCUAUUCAGGGCAUUUUCCAGAUGUCUUCCGUUCUCUUUGACAAGAAGUUCCACAAAGCCUGAUCUUCUCUUGGAAAAAGAAAGGGCAGAGGAGGGCAAAUUGAACCACCCAAGUGCAUUUCAGACCUUUGCACAAAUCUAUAAUGUAAGCUCUGACAGUUGUGUUAUCUUUCUUUUUUGUACAAGUGCCUCACUGAAGCUUUCAGUGUCCAGGCGCCCAUUU